UACGGGGGGGGCAAGCGUUGUUCGGAAUUACUGGGCGUAAAGGGCUCGUAGGCGGCCAACUAAGUCAGACGUGAAAUCCCUCGGCUUAACCGGGGAACUGCGUCUGAUACUGGAUGGCUUGAGUUUGGGAGAGGGAUGCGGAAUUCCAGGUGUAGCGGUGAAAUGCGUAGAUAUCAGGAGGGACACCGGUGGCGAAGGCGGGUCUCUGGGCCGAAAUUGACGCUGAGGAGCGAAAGCGUGGGGAGCGAACAGG
rnacentral:rRNA from 1 species